rnacentral:tRNA from 1 species
GGAUUGUGGCUCAGCGGUAGAGCGCUCGCCUAGCAUGUGCGGGGGCCCUGGGUUCCAUCCUCAGCACCA